GUGGGAGAGAAGGAAACUCAACCAAAUGCAAAUAAAUUUGCAGGAGUUGAGAAAUGAAGUCCAUUCUCUUAAAAAUUAAAAUGCACGUCUGAAAGACAUUAUCAUCAAUCAAAUCCCUCAAAUGAAAAGUGACCUCGCCAUUAUUGCUCAAAAGACUGGAAGGACUCCUGUGGAGGAUCUUGAUUCCUCCUUCUCGACUUUUGGAGAAGUGCAACCG